GAAUGGGGAAACCCAGUGUGACUCGUCACACUAUCAUUAACUGAAUCCAUAGGUUAAUGAGGCGAACCGGGGGAACUGAAACAUCUAAGUACCCCGAGGAAAAGAAAUCAACCGAGAUUCCCCCAGUAGCGGCGAGCGAACGGGGAGGAGCCCAGAGCCUGAAUCAGCAUGUGUGUUAGUGGAAGCGUCUGGAAAGGCGCGCGAUACAGGGUGACAGCCCCGUACACAAAAGCGCAUGUGCUGUGAGCUCGAUGAGUAGGGCGGGACACGUGGUAUCCUGUCUGAAUAUGGGGGGACCAUCCUCCAAGGCUAAAUACUCCUGACUGACCGAUAGUGAACCAGUACCGUGAGGGAAAGGCGAAAAGAACCCCGGCGAGGGGAGUGAAAAAGAACCUGAAACCGUGUACGUACAAGCAGUGGGAG
rnacentral:rRNA from 1 species